ACAUCCAGACGAACCGGAAUAUGGUAGAACCGUCUCUUAUAUUUGCACUUUCCAGGGUCACUGUCGAUCUGGUUGUCCCCACUGUUGAUGCUAAAUGGUUCAAAACACAUGAAUAGGACGAUCUUAGCCAUCUGAUAGGUGUCCUUCAAAGAGAAUGGAAAACUAAAAAUAGUUAUAGUAUGGAGAAAAAGCUGUGGAUGGCAUUGUCAAAUAGGUGUGAUUUUUGAAACACGGAUCAUGCAUGAUAGGAACCACUAAAUGGACGGCUGGAUUGAUACACGACCCUACCAUAUUCUGGUUCUUGCAGCUUCAUUGUAUGAUCUACGUCCAAUGCCUGCGGUAUAUCUUUUAUUUUUAUUUUUCUAAUGCAGAUUAUUAAAUGAGGAACAUUGGAUGCUGUUUUUGAAUUGCCUGUAUGCAUGUAGACUAAUAGGAGAUUUUCAGGAUUCUUCCUAUGGCGAAUCCGAAUUUUUUAUGUUUUAAGUUGUUUCCACUUAUAUUUCUUCGGUUUUUAUUUUAUAUGGUUUUAUAUUGAUGAUGAUAGAUUGAUUUCUAUGGCACAUGUACGUUCUAAGUAUGUCUUGUUUGUUUACCCUCAUUGUGGAAAUCUUAUUUUCGACUAGUGCAUGUGAAAAGUUCUAAAUGGUGGGGACUGCAUGCCUGGAAAUAAGGGGGAAGAACCAAAAGGGCUUGAAUUUUAGCCUCUUGCACAUUUAGAAGAGGGAGCCAAGAACUCAUUGUCAUGGAUUGAUUAAUGGGGUAUCAGCAGCAUGGCCUUCUAUGUUAGAAGGGUAAAAAAGCAAUGGUAGGUGUGAAGUUAGUGAAUUAUGUGUGUUAGAAAAGGGCCCAAGAUUGCACCAUUAUCAUCAUCUCUUUCACAUGGUAGAGAAUAAAUUACUUGUGCUAAUAAGGAAAUGCUACGAGUUUUGAGUAUGGGAAGUAUCAUGUAUAGGGGUCAUCAAAACCUGAAUUUAGGAUUCAGGCAGUGCAUGGAUCCGAGGGAGAAGUAUUACUUACACACAUUGGAGAAGGUGACUAAAGAAAGUUAUCAUGUGGGCCCAAGGAGCUUCCUCAAAUCCUCGGAAAGUAUCUAAUGUGUUUGAUGAAAUCUGCCUUUUGGCCUUCCUGCUAUACAUAUCGUUUGCCCGUAUUGGUCAAGAGGUGAAUGAUUUGGCUGAUGAUCAGCUAAAGGGGGCAUGCAUUGCCCUUCAUUGUGUAUUGGGAGUUCUCUUCCUUUGCAUUACUGCUCCUUUUUAAUUGUUUUUAACAAGUUAUUCUUUAUUAUUAUUAUUAGUUUUUUUUUUUAAAAGAAGAAGAAAUGAUUCACUUACGAAUCUUCAUGUUAAAACACUUCUCCAAAAAUGUUGUUGUUCAAAUUUCAAUAUGGCUUCUCCUUUCAAAAAUAUAUUUACAACUUACAAGUGGUGAUUCACAUAGAUGAAUUUUGUAAAAAUAGGAUUCGUAAAGCAGAUUCCAAAUAGCUGGAACACAUGUAUGGUGCUGGUGUUGACGAUAUGAUGAGUAAUUGUGGUAGUAGGGGGGCUAUGUAACGUGAAAAGUGCACUGAAAAAUUAUUUUGUGUUAACAUGUGUCCAUGUCCAACUCUCUUGGACAUGGCAUAUAUAAAAGACUAAUUUUUAUGUUAAGCUAUUAUUAUCUUUUACUUUUUUGGAUGUAUUUUUACAUAAAUUUGAUUUAUAGUUUGAUUAUUUUUACUAUAAAAUUUUGAAAUCCUUUUGAUAUAAGCAAUUACAAUAUGCUUUUCAAAAUGAUAUUAUAUUAUCUUAAUAUUUGCAUGGAUGUAUAGGUGUAUUAGGUUUUAUAACCUAACAUGUUGUAAACUGAAGCUUUGGUUCUUAAUGAUCUGUGGGUCUAGAAUGCAAAGGCUAGGCAGGUUGAAAAUGCAUGUUUUGGAGGUUAGGUGAAAAAAGAAAA